rnacentral:rRNA from 1 species
UGGGGAAUAUUGCACAAUGGGCGCAAGCCUGAUGCAGCCAUGCCGCGUGUAUGAAGAAGGCCUUCGGGUUGUAAAGUACUUUCAGUCGGGAGGAAGGUGGUAAGGUUAAUAACCUUGGCAAUUGACGUUACCGACAGAAGAAGCACCGGCUAACUCCGUGCCAGCAGCCGCGGUAAUACGUAGGUGGCAAGCGUUGUCCGGAUUUAUUGGGCGUAAAGCGAGCGCAGGCGGUUUCUUAAGUCUGAUGUGAAAGCCCCCGGCUCAACCGGGGAGGGUCAUUGGAAACUGGGAGACUUGAGUGCAGAAGAGGAGAGUGGAAUUCCAUGUGUAGCGGUGUAAUGCGUAGAUAUAUGGAGGAACACCAGUGGCGAAGGCGGCUCUCUGGUCUGUAACUGACGCUGAGGCUCGAAAGCGUGGGGAGCAAACAGG